GAUCCUGGCUCAGGAUGAACGUUAGCUACAGGCUUAACACAAGCAAGUCGAGGGGCAGCAUGGUCUUAGCUUGCUAAGGCCGAUGGCGACCGGCGCACGGGUGAGUAACGCGUAUCCAACCUGCCUUACACUCUUGGACAGCCUUCUGAAAGGGAGAUUAAUACAAGAUGUUAUCAUGAGUAAGCAUUUUCGCAUGAUUAAAGGUUUACCGGUGUAAGAUGGGGAUGCGUUCCAUUAG
rnacentral:rRNA from 1 species